rnacentral:tRNA from 1 species
AGUAUCGUCAGCUAAAGAAGCUCCGGGGCCCAUGCCCCCGAAUAUGUAGGUUAAAUUCCUUCCUUUACUA